CUCCCUUGCCACUGUACAUUGUAGGUGGGA
rnacentral:piRNA from 1 species